UUGAAUGAAUUAUUGAUUUCACUAUAAUUAUUUUCAAUCAAAUCCGUCUAUGAAAUUUGUUUGAUAUUCGUAUGAUAAAAAAAUAAUUUUGUUUAUCAGUUCAGCAAACAGUUCAACAAAGAAAAGUGCACCGGAGACUUUUAUGGUUCCAGUUUUCAAUGUUUUAUCGAUGGUUGCAAAGCACAAAAUGUCCCGUUAUCGUGAAUGGGAUCUCUCCUGCAAAGUUUGGGUAGGAAACCUUGGCAGCAGCGCGAGCAAGCAUGAGAUUGAAAGUGCUUUCAGCAAAUAUGGCCCCCUAAGGAACGUCUGGGUUGCUAGAAACCCACCUGGUUUUGCAUUCGUUGAAUUUGAAGAUCCUCGUGACGCAGAAGAUGCAGUCAGGGGUUUGGACGGAACUCGUUGCUGUGGUACCAGAGUACGAGUAGAGAUGUCCUCAGGCAGAAGUCGUCGUGGAGGAGGAGGACGCAGACCUGGCCCAAGAUACUCUAGGUCCCGAUCUCGGAGUCCACGUAGGAAUUUGGGUCGUUACCCAAGGUCCCUGUCGAAGAGCCCGAAGCGAUCACCGGUUGCCCGUUAUUCCAGAUUCUACCAUCGUCAGCUCAUAGCUCUGCUCGUCUCCCCGCUACUACUACCACUACUGCUACUGCUACUACAGCCACCGUGAACCAAAAAAGCCAAAAAAAAAAGUACCAAAGCAAACAAAAAACAAUGAGAUUUAAAUCAGAGUCUCAGUCAGAGUCGAAGCAAUCGAAAAAUGAGUCACAAAAAAUUGCCUGCCUGUCUGCCUGCCCACUAACCUCCCAACCACGUCACCUUCGGUCACCACGAGUUCGAGAUCACCAACCGUUAGGGGGGAAACGGCCAGGACUCCGUCAGUCCGUCACUCCGAUCGUCAAAAAAUCAAUCAAUCAAUCGAUCAAUCAAUCAAUCAAUCAGUAAAUCGAUCAAUCAGUCUCCCGGUAAAUAAAUCGGCAGUCUCCUUGCUGUCUCGCAAUCACAGUCACAGUCCCAUUCGAUAUCAAAAAAAUCAAGUUAUUCAAACAAAAAACCAAACGUUAAUCACACCUUCCGGAUUCGGCACAACGUUGUCGAGAGCCCUAGGAUGCGCAUCGGUCGUCGUUCGAGCCCAUUAUAGCAGUGGUCGUGUGUGUGUGCGUUGUCUGCUGCACCACUCGUCGUCAGUCAGAAAUUCUUCGUCCCACCGUUAAAAAAACAAAAAAAAUCAAACAAAAAAAAAACAAUAUGUCGCCUUGUGUCGAGACUUGUCUACGCGUUUUACGCACAUACCACCACUACUACCUACUACUACUACUACCUACUACUACUACUUCUACUACUACUACUACUAGUACUACUACUGCUACUGCGCUGCAACGAAAAAAAAAAAAAAAAAAAAAAAAAUAGAAAAAAAUAAAAAAAACAUUGCUCAAAGCAAAAUAUUAAAUAUCUCAACGCGAGUCUCACGAGUCCGGUCCGGCUCUUCGUUCGCCAAUCACGUCUCUCCGAUCACAACCGUCAGUCCCAACGUUCUCGACAACUGCGUACUACUACUACUACUACUACCACUACCAAAUCGUCGAUCAUCACGUCUUAAAAAAAUCUUAGCCGAACAAAAUGAACAAAUAAAAAAGCGAGUCAACCUCUCGUCCAAUCUUCUCUUCGAUCGAGCAAAGCGCAAAAUGAUCACCACCUACACAACCAUCCCACCACCCAAGUACCAAGUACCACCACCACCACCACCAACCACCACUACAUGUUCACAGUUGUCUGAUCGAGAUCCCGUACUCCCCGCAGGAGAUCGCUGACUCGUAGCCGUAGCCGUGACCGUCGUUCCCGCUCCGAUUCCCGCGACAGACGCUAAGGUGCUGAAAUUGUGACGAAUAAACGAACAGAAAAUAAAGAGAGAGAAAAACCAAUCGACGAACUCGAAAGUGCCGGGACGAAGAAAAGGAAAGAAUAUAAAACAGAACCAACACGAAAUACCCAUUUUUAUUUGUAUAUAAAUCAUCUACACGCGCGCAGAAAGCCAAACGAACACGCUUAAUUAAAGGACAAGCUGAGGGAUAUGAGCGCCAGCUGAAAAACUAUUUUUUUCUCAUAUGCACGCCGCGUUUUAAUGUCUCACAUACGUAGCGAACGCACAUUGCCUCAGAUUCACAUCACCUACACCGCGAGAUACUACUAAGAAAAGAUACUUCGAGUCGAGAAAGAUAAAAAAAAAAGGAGAACAAACAAAAAAAACAUUGUUGACGCUGCAGAUGUCCCGUAAUUUUCGUGGGACGCUUUUGUGAUUCAAGAAAAAAUGAAGUGAACGACUCUUCGUGUUGAGUGUUUACCACAAAAAAGUGACGAGAUCCCAAACGUUUCCGGCUUCUCUAUUUCGUCUUCAUUUUUUUGUUCGUAAAUCCGUCAUUUUGUGACACACAAAAUGGAGAAUUAUGACAAACAUCAAACAAAAGAAAAGAACAGAACAAAAUAUUGUACGAGUGAAACAAUCCCUCGACAUUUAUUAAGCACCACAGAUUGAGAUAAAGAAACGUCCAAGCACUGGUAAAAAGCGUUGAAACAUGAUAUUUGAGAAUAACACAAUGAAGAUUCAUCCAAAACGUUGCAUUGUAAUGAUCGAUUAACAGUGAAUGACGAAACAAUUGCUCGAAAAAAGGGAAAAAAUGCUGAAAAAAAGCACGUCAGUGUUUUUGAUAAAGAUAAAAUAAAGAUAAAUAAUAUUAAUGGAUGAUGAUGAACAAUAAAUAAAACAAUAAUGAAAACAAGAUCACAUUUUUGUUUUACGCUGUAUUGAUUAUUUUGUACUCUUACGAAUUUAAGAAUUACAAUAAAAUCUGUGACGUGUAAAUGUCCUUGAA